AGCGAACGCUGGCGGCAGGCUUAACACAUGCAAGUCGAACGGGCGUAGCAAUACGUCAGUGGCAGACGGGUGAGUAACGCGUGGGAACGUACCUUUUGGUUCGGAACAACCCAGGGAAACUUGGGCUAAUACCGGAUAAGCCCUUACGGGGAAAGAUUUAUCGCCGAAAGAUCGGCCCGCGUCUGAUUAGCUAGUUGGUGAGGUAACGGCUCACCAAGGCAACGAUCAGUAGCUGGUCUGAGAGGAUGAUCAGCCACAUUGGGACUGAGACACGGCCCAAACUCCUACGGGAGGCAGCAGUGGGGAAUAUUGGACAAUGGGCGCAAGCCUGAUCCAGCC
rnacentral:rRNA from 1 species